GCCAGGAUAGCUCAGUUGGUUAGAGUGUGGUGCUGAAAAUGCCAAGGUUGCAGGUUUGAUUCCUGUAUGGCA